rnacentral:rRNA from 1 species
AACGAACGCUGGCGGCAUGCCUAACACAUGCAAGUCGAACGAGAUCUUCGGGUCUAGUGGCGCACGGGUGCGUAACGCGUGGGGAUCUGCCCUUUGGUUCGGGAUAACAGUUGGAAACGACUGCUAAUACCGGAUGAUGACGAAAGUCCAAAGAUUUAUCGCCAGAGGAUGAGCCCGCGUAGGAUUAGCUAGUUGGUGUGGUAAAGGCGCACCAAGGCGACGAUCCUUAGCUGGUCUGGGAGGAUGAUCAGCCACACUGUGACUGAGACACGGCCCAGACUCGUACGGGAGGCAGAAGUGGGGAGUCUUGGACAAUGGGCGAAAGCCUGAUCCAGCAAUGCCGCGGGAGUGAUGAAGGCCUUAGGGUUGUAAAGCUCUUUUACCGGGGAUGAUAAUGACAGUACCGGGAGAAUAAGCUCCGGCUAACUCCGUGCCAGCCGCCGCAGUAA